UCGGAUGUGGUGUAUGGCACACACCCGCUCAUAUUCCAGGGUUAACGGUUUCUGUCAACUAACUUGAGUGUGAUGCGGGAAGCUCGGGUUCAACUCUCGGCGUCCGAA